rnacentral:tRNA from 1 species
GGAUAAUUUAAAUUUGGCUUCUAACCAAAUAACCUGUGACUCAGAUUAUCCU